CUACGGGGUGCAGCAGUGAGGAAUAUUGCACAAUGGGGGGAACCCUGAUGCAGCAACGCCGCGUGGAGGAUGACGCAUUUCGGUGUGUAAACUCCUUUUAUAUGUCAAGAAAAUGACGGUAGCAUAUGAAUAAGCACCGGCUAACUCCGUGCCAGCAGCCGCGGUAAUACGGAGGGUGCAAGCGUUACUCGGAAUCACUGGGCGUAAAGGACGCGUAGGCGGGCUUGUAAGUCAGGUAUGAAAUCCUACAGCUUAACCGUAGAACUGCACUUGAAACUACGAGCCUAGAGUAUGGGAGGGGGAGAUGGAAUUAGUGGUGUAGGGGUAACAUCCGUAGAUAUCACUAGGAAUACCUAAAGCGAAGGCGAUCUCCUGGAACAUAACUGACGCUAAGGCGUGAAAGCGUGGGGAGCAAACAGGAUUAGAUACCCUCGUAGUC
rnacentral:rRNA from 1 species